rnacentral:rRNA from 1 species
UACGGAGGGGGCAAGCGUUGUUCGGAAUUACUGGGCGUAAAGGGCGCGCAGGCGGCUGCUCAAGUCAGGCGUGAAAGGCCUGGGCUCAACCCGGGAAUUGCGCUUGAGACUGGGCUGGCUUGAGUGCGGGAGAGGUGAGUGGAACUGCGAGUGUAGAGGUGAAAUUCGUAGAUAUUCGCAAGAACACCAGUGGCGAAGGCGGCUCACUGGCCCGAUACUGACGCUGAGGUGCGAAAGCGUGGGGAGCGAACAGG